CAAGAAAACCAUCCAACUUACACAUGAACAACAGCUGAUUCUGAAUCACAAGAUGGAACCUCUCCAGGUGGUGAAAAUUAUGGCCUUUGCCGGCACUGGGAAGACCUCAACCCUGGUCAAGUACGCAGAGAAGUGGUCUCAGAGCAGGUUUCUGUAUGUGACAUUCAACAAGAGCAUCGCAAAGCAGGCCGAACGUGUCUUCCCCAGCAACGUCAUCUGCAAAACCUUCCAUUCCAUGGCCUAUGGGCACGUAGGGCGGAAGUGAGUACUGGCCUAUGGGCACGUAGGGCGGAAGUGAGUACUGGCCUAUGGGCACGUAGGGCGGAAGUGAGUACUGCUGUCCCUAGUGGCACUGCUGCUGCUGACAGGGUCGCGUCUUACUGUUUUCCCGUGACCAUCACAUGUGAGCUUACACCACAGUGACCCCGAGGAGUGUAGUGCUGUUCUCUCCACUUACAGGCAGGAAACAAAUACAUAGGUUUAGCCAUUUGUACUUUUAUCCUGUAGCAACAUAUCGUUCACAUAUAAUGCCGUCUUGCUGAGAGGGGUGUUCUCAUGGAAGUGAGGCACAGAAAGUCAAAAUGACUUGCUUAAAGUUCAGAAUCUUACAAAUCCUGAUCAGUUGUAGGCUUUUCUUGGAAGGGAGUGAGGAAGACUCAGCCGAGGCACACUUGCCCCAGGUCUUCUGGAUGUAGAGGCA
rnacentral:sRNA from 1 species